rnacentral:rRNA from 1 species
ACUCCUACGGGAGGCAGCAGUGGGGAAUAUUGCACAAUGGGGGAAACCCUGAUGCAGCCAUGCCGCGUGUGUGAAGAAGGCCUUCGGGUUGUAAAGCACUUUCAGUAGGGAGGAAGGUAGUGUAGUUAACACCUGCAUUAUUUGUACGUUACCUACAGAAGAAGCACCGGCUAACUCCGUGCCAGCAGCCGCGGUAAGUACGGAGGGUGCGAGCGUUAAUCGGAAUUACUGGGCGUAAAGCGCAUGCAGGCGGCCUGUUAAGUCAGAUGUGAAAGCCCGGGGCUUAACCUCGGAAUUGCAUUUGAAACUGGCAGGCUAGAGUCUUGUAGAGGGGUUAGAAUUUCGAGGUGUAGCGGUGAAAUGCGUAGAGAUCUGAAGGAAUACCG